rnacentral:rRNA from 1 species
AGAAUGAACGCUGGCGGCGUGCUUAACACAUGCAAGUCGAACGAGGCGGAGGGGGCAACCCCUCCAGUCGAGUGGCGGACGGGUGAGUAACACGUGGGUAACCUGCCCGGAAGUGGGGAACACCUCGGGGAAACUCGAGCUAAUACCGCAUGACAUCUUCGGGACGAAAGUCCUGACGAUCAAAGCGGGGCCGCAAGGCCUCGCG